UACGGGGGGGGCAAGCGUUGUUCGGAAUUACUGGGCGUAAAGGGCUCGUAGGUGGCCAACUAAGUCAGACGUGAAAUCCCCAGGCUUAACCUGGGAACUGCGUCUGAUACUGGAUGGCUUGAAUUCGGGAGAGGGAUGCAGAAUUCCAGGUGUAGCGGUGAAAUGCGUAGAUAUCGAGAGGAACACCUGCGGCGAAGGCGGGUUGCUGGGCUGACACUGACGCUGAGGCGCGAAAGCUAGGGGAGCGAACGGG
rnacentral:rRNA from 1 species